UACGUAUGGAGCAAGCGUUAUCCGGAUUUACUGGGCGUAAAGGGAGCGUAGACGGUUUGCCAAGUCUGAUGUGAAAGGUGUGGGCUCAACCCGCAAACUGCACUGGAAACUGGUAGAUUAGAGUGUCGGAGAGGUAAGUGGAAUUCCUAGUGUAGCGGUGAAAUGCGUAGAUAUUAGGAGGGACACCAGCGGCGAAGGCGGCUUACUGGACGAUAACUGACGUUGAGGCUCGAAAGCGUGGGGAGCAAAC
rnacentral:rRNA from 1 species